AUUUCCUUGAGGCAACUUUCUAGAUAAUUUUCUUCAUACACCUUUGGAUGGCCUGAAUUCGAUGUUGUUCAAUAUGAAAUCAUACAUUGAGGGGUCAUAAAGCCAAUUACAUAAACGUAGAAGGGGAAUGACCUGCCUUGUCACCACAGUGACAAUCUCAAGUGACCCGCAGUGUGAUGGGACCACUAAUGAAACUGACACCACUUAAAUGAUAUUAGGAAGAGGGAGAUGUCAGGUGUCCUACUUUUUAUUGGUGAGAUCACGCUUGUCUCCAGGCAUGACUGUCAUAAUGUGGAGAGGGUUGGUAAACAGAGAAUAUUUAGACGAGGCACACCAGCAUACUGAUGAGUCUCAAGCUAUCUGAGGAAUUUUUGGAGCAGUCCCUGUCAAUACUGGGUGAGUGAAACCUCUUUAGAGGUGGGCUGCGACUGUGAACUCCCUUUGUGUCAGCUACAACGUUCUUGCUUUCGUGUAUCAAUUUGUUUGUUUUUUAAGUACAAAUUUUGUUGCAUUGUUGCAUUAAAAAUGGAUGUA
rnacentral:lncRNA from 1 species